UGAACGCUGGCGGCGUGCCUAACACAUGCAAGUCGAACGAGCGAGAGAUGAAACCUAGUGAUUCUCGAGCGAGUGGCGGACGGGUGAGUAACGCGUGGGUAACCUGCCUUACAGAGGGGGAUAACAGUCUGAAAAGACUGCUAAUACCGCAUAAGCACACAGUACCGCAUGGUACAGGGUGAAAAGAUUUAUCACUGUAAGAUGGACCCGCGUCUGAUUAGCCAGUUGGCAGGGUAACGGCCUACCAAAGCGACGAUCAGUAGCCGACCUGAGAGGGUGAUCGGCCACAUUGGGACUGAGACACGGCCCAAACUCCUACGGGAGGCAGCAGUGGGGGAUAUUGCACAAUGGAGGAAACUCUGAUGCAGCCGACGCCGCGUGAGUGAAGAAGUAUUUCGGUAUGUAAAGCUCUAUCAGCAGGGAAGAUAAUGACAGUACCUGACCAAGAAGCCCCGGCUAACUACGUGCCAGCCGCUGC
rnacentral:rRNA from 1 species